GGGUCAGUAGGCUGGUCGUGCCACCGGUACGUACUGGUCUCACUGAUUCCUCCUUCCUGAAUAACCGUAAUGCCAUUAAUUUGGUGUUGCGGGGAAACAGGACUGUUACUUUGAAAAAAUUAGAGUGUUUAAAGCAAGCUAGCGCUUGAAUACGUUAGCAUGGAAUAAUGAAAUAGGACGAUCGAUCCUAUUUUGUUGGUUUCUAGGAUUGACGUA
rnacentral:rRNA from 1 species